UACGUAAGGUCCGAGCGUUGUCCGGAAUCAUUGGGCGUAAAGCGAGCGCAGGCGGUUUCUUAAGUCUGAUGUGAAAGCCCCCGGCUUAACCGGGGAGGGUCAUUGGAAACUGGAUCACUUGAGUGCAGAAGAGGAGAGUGGAAUUCCAUGUGUAGCGGUGAAAUGCGUAGAUAUAUGGAGGAACACCAGUGGCGAAGGCGGCUUUCUGGCUAUUAACUGACGCUGAGGCGCGAAAGCGUGGGGAGCAAACAGG
rnacentral:rRNA from 1 species